rnacentral:rRNA from 1 species
UUAGCCGGUACUCGCGAAUNGCNUCUAGAUUAAGUUGAUCCUGGCUCAGNACGAACGCUGGCGGCGUGCUUAACACAUGCAAGUCGAACGAUGAAGCCCUUCGGGGUGGAUUAGUGGCGAACGGGUGAGUAACACGUGGGCAAUCUGCCCUUCACUCUGGGACAAGCCCUGGAAACGGGGUCUAAUACCGGAUAACACUCCUGCCUGCAUGGGCGGGGGUUAAAAGCUCCGGCGGGGUUGGAAAGGGAUGAGCCCCGCGGGGCCUAUCAGGCUUUGGUUUGGGUUGGGGGGUAAUUGGGCCCACCAAGGGGCCGAACGAACCGGGGGGUUNGGCCCGGGGCCUUUGGAAGAAGGGGGGCGGAACCGGGCCACCUUGGGGGACU